UUCCACCACCGUGCCUACCUACCUACCUACCUGUCUCUCUGGAUGGCGGAUUUCCGCAGGUGUGCUCUGUGGUGGGCAAAAAAAAAUCUUUCAGUCCAUCUAGAAGUCCCGCUUCACGACCACUUCAGCCUGUUGAUGGCAGCGCUAAAAUGUGUUGGCUACAAAUUCACUUCUGGGGGCACACCGUAGGUAGCAGGUUUCUGUUCUAAUUGAUUUCACAAUCAGUGUGUCGUUUUUUAUUUUUUCCACUUCAGAUUGAUAUCGUAGCGUCGGCGGCGAGUGCCACAAUGGAUGGAUUCUCUGCUCUUUAUGUGGCUCAUUGAGGUGGCUUGCUAUCAUUAAAAGGACUACUCGCCUUUUCCUGCACUUGUUGGAACAGCAUGCAACUUUGCAGGCUUGCCAUUUAUAUAGGCGACCCUGCCACUGGUGAUGCAAUGCCAAGUCAUACUUGUGUGACUCAUCCCUGGCAGAAGUAACUUGUCAAUGUCAUUAGAUAGCCCUCCGUUUGACGUCACUGUCUCCCCCGAUCACUCUCUUUCUUCUCCUUGCAACGGUGCACAAAUUCAUUGAAACGGCAGUGUAGUCUCCUCUCUCGCUUCAGUCAUGCAGCUGGGAUCUUGAGCUUUGUGUUGUCAAUUGAUACAGCUGGAGUCACGCACGAGCGCUUCGGAGGCAGUCAACAAACCUUACGAAACAAAAAUGAGAAAUAAAGCCCACACACUGCAGUCCAGGAGCCAAAAUGGCCGACUCACAGCUUCCGUGCUUCGGGCCGUGGAUAUGACACCACUUCCUCACAAGAAACGACACCAAAGAAAAAGUGUCCACACAUGAAGCAAACACAGCAGUACGGCCACAGACAAAGCUGAGUUG